GAACGCUGACAGAAUGCUACACAUGCAAGUCAACUUGAAUUUGGGUUUUAACUUAAGUUUGGGUGGCGGACGGGUGAGUAACGCGUAAAGAACUUGCCUCACAGCUAGGGACAACAUUUGGAAACGAAUGCUAAUACCUAAUAUUAUGAUAAUAGGGCAUCCUAUAAUUAUGAAAGCUAUAAGCGCUGUGAGAGAGCUUUGCGUCCCAUUAGCUAGUUGGAGAGGUAACGGCUCACCAAGGCGAUGAUGGGUAGCCGGCCUGAGAGGGUGAUCGGCCACAAGGGGACUGAGACACGGCCCUUACUCCUACGGGAGGCAGCAGUGGGGAAUAUUGGACAAUGGACCAAGAGUCUGAUCCAGCAAUUCUGUGUGCACGAUGAAGUUUUUCGGAAUGUAAAGUGCUUUCAGUUGGGAAGAAAGAAAUGACGGUACCAACAGAAGAAGUGACGGCUAAAUACGUGCCAGCAGCCGCGGUAAUACGUAUGUCACGAGCGUUAUCCGGAUUUAUUGGGCGUAAAGCGCGUCUAGGUGGUUAUGUAAGUCUGAUGUGAAAAUGCAGGGCUCAACUCUGUAUUGCGUUGGAAACUGUAUAACUAGAGUACUGGAGAGGUAAGCGGAACUACAAGUGUAGAGGUGAAAUUCGUAGAUAUUUGUAGGAAUGCCGAUGGGGAAGCCAGCUUACUGGACAGAUACUGACGCUGAAGCGCGAAAGCGUGGGUAGCAAACAGGAUUAGAUACCCUGGUAGUCCACGCCGUAAACGAUGAUUACUAGGUGUUGGGGGUCGAACCUCAGCGCCCAAGCAAACGCGA
rnacentral:rRNA from 1 species